rnacentral:lncRNA from 1 species
AAAACAUGUGCCUCAUGAUUGGUCAAUAAUUUGUCACCUUGUAAACUAUGGUAUCACUCUUUAAUCUCAUAGAUGAUGCGGUGAGUGGCCCAGUCCUCUCUUGGUCGCAUGUUCACAGCCUCACACCCUAUAUUCACAGCCUCACACCCUAUACCUAAACAAGCGUUGUUUGUUGACGCUGUCAUGGUGGAUAUGAUAACUAUGUGUUCAUUUUGUGUUAAAACAGUGGUUGGUAAUCGGCAACUUGUUUAAAGUAGUUGAGUGUUAAUCAAUAAAGAAUUAGUAAGCUGUUUGGACUGGGUUACAUGUUGAGAUUACUUUUCUGCCUCUUAUGGUUAUGUAACUAAAGUGUCUCACGUGAUCUUGUUUCAAAAUUUUACUGAGCUGUUUCUUCCUUCCAUUAACUUUCAUCUUAUUUCCAUCUUAUUUUCAUUGUCUUUUUUGGUUGUCUUUAUAUUUAUUGUGUUUCAUUUGAAACUUAUGGUUGAUUCAUAGGAAUAAUAAAUCUGGAAAUAAAUUUUGCCAACUGUUUAGCCUGC